GCCUUCAUGGCCAAGUGGUAAGGCGCCUCACUAGUAAUGAGGAGAUCAUCAGUUCGAGUCUGGUUGAAGGCA
rfam:Sugiyamaella lignohabitans strain CBS 10342 chromosome D, complete sequence.